GCCUGGCAGAUAGCUCAGUUGGCUAGAGCGUGAGCGAAUAACCCCAAGGUUGCAGGUUUGAUCCCUGCAUGGGACA